UACAGAGGGGGCAAGCGUUGUUCGGAAUUACUGGGCGUAAAGGGCGCGUAGGCGGCCUUCUAAGUCGGACGUGAAAUCCCCGGGCUCAACCCGGGAACUGCGUCCGAUACUGGAAGGCUUGAAUCCGGGAGAGGGAUGUGGAAUUCCAGGUGUAGCGGUGAAAUGCGUAGAUAUCUGGAGGAACACCGGUGGCGAAGGCGACAUCCUGGACCGGUAUUGACGCUGAGGCGCGAAAGCCAGGGGAGCAAACGGG
rnacentral:rRNA from 1 species